rnacentral:rRNA from 1 species
GAUGAACGCUAGCUACAGGCUUAACACAUGCAAGUCGAGGGGAAACGGCAUUAAGUGCUUGCACUUUUUGGACGUCGACCGGCGCACGGGUGAGUAACGCGUAUCCAACCUUCCCAUGACUAAGGGAUAACCUGCCGAAAGGCAGACUAAUACCUUAUGGUCUUCACUGACGGCAUCAGAUGUGAAGUAAAGAUUUAUCGGUUAUGGAUGGGGAUGCGUCUGAUUAGCUUGUUGGCGGGGUAACGGCCCACCAAGGCAACGAUCAGUAGGGGUUCUGAGAGGAAGGUCCCCCACAUUGGAACUGGGACACGGUCCAAACUCCUACGGGAGGCAGCAGUGAGGAAUAUUGGUCAAUGGGCGAGAGCCUGAACCAGCCAAGUAGCGUGCAGGAUGACGGCCCUAUGGGUUGUAAACUGCUUUUGGAUGGGGAUAAAGUCAAUCACGUGUGAUUGUUUGCAGGUACCAUACGAAUAAGGACCGGCUAAUUCCGUG